rnacentral:rRNA from 1 species
AGUGGCGGACGGGUGAGUAACGCGUGAGAAUCUGCCUUCAGGUCGGGGACAACAGAGGAAAACUUCUGCUAAUCCCGGAUGAGCCUUAGGGUAAAAAAUUUAUUGCCUGGAGAUGAGCUCGCGUCUGAUUAGCUAGUUGGUAAGGUAAAAGCUUACCAAGGCAACGAUCAGUAGCUGGUCUGAGAGGAUGAGCAGCCACACUGGGACUGAGACACGGCCCAGACUCCUACGGGAGGCAGCAGUGGGGAAUUUUCCGCAAUGGGCGAAAGCCUGACGGAGCAAGACCGCGUGGGGGAGGAAGGCUCUAGGGUUGUAAACCCCUUUUCUUUGGGAAGAACAAAAUGACGGUACCAAAGGAAUCAGCCUCGGCUAACUCCGUGCCGGCAGCCGCGGUAAUACGGAGGAGGCAAGCGUUAUCCGGAAUGAUUGGGCGUAAAGCGUCCGCAGGUGGCAAUGUAAGUCUGCUGUCAAAACCCAGGGCUCAACUCUGGUCAGGCAGUGGAAACUACAUAGCUAGAGUUCGGUAGGGGCAAAGGGAAUUCCCGGUGUAGCGGUGAAAUGCGUAGAGAUCGGGAAGAACAUCGGUGGCGAAAGCGCUUUGCUAGACCGAAACUGACACUCAGGGACGAAAGCUAGGGGAGCGAAUGGGAUUAGAUACCCC